AAGAAUAGAGGAUCAAUAACCAAAUUUCCUCAGUAAGAGCAAAUAUGUGGUUGCAAACAAAAAAGUAGAAGGUUACUGACUUUCGCUCCAUCCAAAAUCCUUUUAUGAAAGAUGAACGCUUGUUUCGAGCUAACUGAACAUAGGAAUGGAAAACAUCACGGAGAAUGGGUGGGUUAGAAUAGGUUUUGAGCCUUAUAUCCUUUCUUUCUAAAAUCAUGAACCAAGC
rnacentral:lncRNA from 1 species